ACAGGGUUUCUCUGUGUAGCCCUGGCUGUCCUGGAACUCACUCUGUAGACCAGGCUGGCCUCGAACUCAGAAAUCCACCUGCCUCUGCCUCUAGUUUUAAGGUUUUAAGGCUUGCUUAAUUUAUCUUUUACUUUGUAAAAGGAUAUUUUUUUCCACUGAAGAAUAGUCAGU
rnacentral:lncRNA from 1 species